rnacentral:tRNA from 1 species
GGAUAGAUGGCCGAGCGGUUUAAGGCGAUAGUCUUGAAAACUAUUGUAUUUAGUAGAUACCGGGGGUUCGAAUCCCUCUCUAUCCU